rnacentral:rRNA from 1 species
AUCAGCUUGUUGGUGAGGUAACGGCUCACCAAGGCUUCGACGGGUAGCUGGUCUGAGAGGACGAUCAGCCACACUGGCACUGCGACACGGGCCAGACUCCUACGGGAGGCAGCAGUAAGGAAUAUUGCGCAAUGGGCGAAAGCCUGACGCAGCGACGCCGCGUGGGGGAUGAAGGUCUUCGGAUUGUAAACGGCUAACUUCGUGCCAGCAGCCGCGGUAAUACGAAGGUGGCAAGCGUUAUUCGGAUUUACUGGGCGUACAGGGAGCGUAGGCGGUUCGGUAAGCCCUCUGUGAAAUCUUCAGGCUUAACCUGGAAAAGUCGGAGGGGACUGCUGGGCUAGAGGACGGGAGAGGAGCGCGGAAUUCCCGGUGUAGCGGUGAAAUGCGUAGAGAUCGGGAGGAAGGCCGGUGGCGAAGGCGGCGCUCUGGAACGUUUCUGACGCUGAGGCUCGAAAGCGUGGGGAGCAAACAGGAUUAGAUACCCUGGUAGUCCACGCCUUAAACUAUGAAUACUAAGUGUCGGCGGGUUACCGCCGGUGCCGCAGCUAACGCAUUAAGUAUUCCGCCUGGGAAGUACGGCCGCAAG